rnacentral:misc_RNA from 1 species
UUAACUUAUUAAAAUAAGACGCUCAGAUAUCCAUUAGAAUAACAAGAGUUUGAUUUUCCGCCGGCAGACGCUACAGGGUAGCUACAGGGUAGGUACAGGGUAGCUUCCGCCGAGGCAACAUGGUAUAUUCACAUGGGUUUGGGAGUUUAUAUAACUCUGUAAUGAUCCCUCCGCUGGUUCACCAACGGAGA